AUUGAACGCUGGCGGCAGGCCUAACACAUGCAAGUCGAACGGUAACAGGAAACAGCUUGCUGUUUCGCUGACGAGUGGCGGACGGGUGAGUAAUGUCUGGGAAACUGUCUGAUGGAGGGGGAUAACUACUGGAAACGGUAGCUAAUACCGCAUAACGUCGCAAGACCAAAGAGGGGGACCUUCGGGCCUCUUGCCAUCGGAUGUGCCCAGAUGGGAUUAGCUCGUAGGUGGGGUAACGGCUCACCUAGGCGACGAUCCCUAGCUGGUCUGAGGGGAUGACCGGCAACGCUGGAACUGAGACACGGUCCAGACUCCUACGGGAGGCAGCAGUGGGGAAUAUUGCACAAUGGGCGCAAGCCUGAUGCAGCCAUGCCGCGUGUAUGAAGAAGGCCUUCGGGUUGUAAAGUACUUUCAGCGGGGAGGAAGGGAGUAAAGUUAAUACCUUUGCUCAUUGACGUUACCCGCAGAAGAAGCACCGGCUAACUCCGUGCCAGCAGCCGCCGUAA
rnacentral:rRNA from 1 species